GGGCCUGCGCCCGUGCCCCUCCCUGUGCGCAGGCCCUUGGCUGAGGAUCUGCAGCUCCUUCUUCCAGAACGCAGGAUCCGGGUUUUGCCGUCAGACUUGCUCCGGGCAGUGAGGUGCCAGCCAGCGUCACACGGGGACAAGCUUGGAGACACGGUUCCCGUUUCCGCCAGCAUGUUCCCACCGCCGCCGCCAGCCUGAGACGCGGCCCAGCCGGCCUGGGGGCGGACGAGGGACCCGCAGGGCCUGGCCGCCCCGUUCAGCGCCGCCAGCUCCUAGACGGGCCUGGCGGAGAUCAGGGACAAGAUUCGCCCAUGGAAACUUCUGUCCCUGGCCAAGAGCUCAAGUGUCUGGCUCCCUCCUCCAUCGGCCUUUGUUCCAGUCCAUUGCAGAGGAAGCUUCCGGUCUGUUCCCGUCUCGCGUCUCCCCAUUUUCUCCAGGUCACCAGGGCACCGAGCGUGCAGGCUGUGCUGGGAACAUCGUCAUUUUCCAAGCCCUUGUGCGAAUCCUUACGCUUUGUUCAGCACACACAGCAUGUUAGUCUCGUGUGCAUAAUGAGCUUUGGAUUAAAGAAUUAAAUAACUACCCGUUCUGCUUCUCGCCGAGGCUCAAAUCCCAUUCCUGCCACUUGCUGGCUGUGUGACUUUGGGCAGGUAACUUGACCUCUCUGCACUGUGGUUCUCUGAUCUACAAAUGGGGGCUAAGAGUCGCACCGCGGCUGUGUGCGGAUUACAUUGGUGAAUCUGCGCCGAGUCCCAGGAGUGGAGCACCGGUGAGCCCGGGAGCCCCGUGCUGGGAAAGACAGAUCUGACAUUUUCUGGACAGACAGUAGGAUGUGACCCUGGCAGUGCAAGAUCGUUUCUGCCUGAACCGAAGGCUUCACGGGGAGAUCCUCUGGCCCGCUCACACGCCGAGGGCCUGAGGCGGCGGGGGGGUCCCGUGUUGGGGUGCCCACCUGCUGGCGCUGAUAGAGGGGGCAGGACUAGAAGCCUGUCCUCCUGGGCGGCCCCCGGACAACAGAUUGGAGGAGUCGGGCAGGUCCGAGGCUCCGGUUUGCGGGGAUCCGGCUCCUGCAACAGGCCGCCCGGGGUCUC
rnacentral:lncRNA from 1 species